AAAAAAGAAAAGAAAAAGAAAAGAGGAAGGGAAGGCAGAGGACCUCUAACAUCACUUAGAAAAAUUAAAAACAGCUCCAAAACUAAAUGUAUAUCUUGAAAUCACAAAACUCCAUGAAGACAAUAUAGGGGAAAACCUCUUUGAAGUGGAUCUUGGUGACAGUAGUUUGCUGAAUAUGACUGUAAAGGCUUAAGCAGCAAAGACAAAAACUAACAAGUGAGACUUCAUCAAGCCAAAACCUUUGAAACAGAGGAAACAAGAAUAUUGAAAAUGCAGCCUCCAGGGUAGAAGAGAACAUUUGCAAAUCACAUCUGUUACAAAGAAGUUUCUUUGCUGAGGGGGGAGAACUCCACCUGGACGUGGGUGUAAGGACAAAGGUUUAGAUUGUUGGUAGGGAUUAUGCUGGUUUAGUAAAUUGUUAACAGCUAUUGUGAAAAACAAUAUGGAGGUUACUCAAGAUCUUACAAAUAGAAUCAAAGGGUUCAGAAUGUCAUUUCUGUAUACAUAAACAAAAUGAAACAAGCAUUUCCCUUUAUUUCUAAUAAUUUAUCUGUCUAUUUUAUUUGGGAAAGGAUGUUACUAAGUGUAUUCCUUGUUUUUAAUUCAUACUCAUUUGUUCGUUGAGACAGGAUCACACUGUGUAGACCUGGCUGGCUUAGAACUACCAGGCUCGCCUCACUCUUAACAGAUCUGGCUGGCUUUGCUUCUGCCUUCUACACACUGGGAUUAAAGGUAUGCAUGUGCCACCACACCUGUCCUUAUUAAUUUAUUUUUUUUAAAUAAAGGUUUGAUUGUUUAUAUAUAUGGGGGGGCGCAUAUGCAGUUGCUUCAGUGCUCGUGGAGGUCAGAAGAGGGUGUCAGAUCUUCUGAAGUUGGAGUUAACAGGGAAUUGUGACCUAUCUGAUGUUCAUGCUGAGAACUGACCUCGGUUCCACUAAAACAACUGCAAGCACUGUUACCUGCUGAGCCAUCUUUCCAACCUGAAAUCAUAUUUUAAAGAAAUCAUUACAUCACCCUGCUUAUUUCAGAAUGGCUUACAGAAGCCAUGAUGGAGAACUGACCUAGUUAUGUACCUAUGUAUGAGUGUAUAAAGGAAAAAAUAAAAAAGGCAUAUUUCCUACUGUAUGAUACAAUAUAGAAAAAACUAGAAGGUACUAUACUAAGUGAAAUCAGCCAAAUAGAGAACACGUUCUUCUAUGGAAUCACUUUAUAUGUGUUAUCUAAAAAGAAUCAAACUAAGAAAUCAAUUGGAACAUAGUAGUUGCCAAAAUUUAAGGGUAGAGGAAACGGGGAGAUGUUUUUGGAAAAUGACCAAUAUUCAGUUAUAAAAUGAAUUAGUUCUAAAUGUUUACUGCACAACAUGGUGACUGCAAUUAAUAAUACAGUAUAGCAUGCUUGAAAUCUGCUGACCAAAAGGCUCUUAAAAUGUUUUUUAAAGUAUUGAAAAGAUGAUAUGAUAAAUGUGUUAAUUCAUUUUUACUUUGGUAAUUAUUUCAUAGUAUACAAAUAUAGCAAAUUACCACAUUGUCUAUUUUUUUUACAGUUUUGUUAGUCAUGCCUCAGUAAGUCUAAAAAAUGAGUAGAAAGUAAGUAAUAAAAUAUAAUAAGUUUGGUUGUCAUGGUGUACACCUUUAAUCUAGUACUUGAGAGACAGAGUUUGAGGCCAGUCUGGUUUACAGAGUGAGUUUUGGACUGCCAGGGUUACAUGCACCCAAUGCCAGAAACAACCUAAUAAUAAUAAUAAUAAUAAUAGUAAUAAUAAAUGCAAGUUUCCUUUUUUCAGUUUUGUCAAGACUUUUAGAAUACUACAUAUUUUCCGAACUGUGUUCUUCAUUCCCCUGGCCCUCUCAGACACCCACACCUCCCCACCCACCCACCUUCAUGCUCUUCCUUUCUCUCAGUGUACACACGCUCUGAACAGGUUUAAAGUAGACAAAACGCCUGCACUGAGAAGGGGAAGAGGGCACAAAGUCCACCUAUAACCAAGAAGCUGUUUGUAAUUGAUACUUGCUGGGAAAAGGGAACUCAGUCUCCUACAGUGGCAUGUCUUUGGAUAUGUUAAGUAUCCUCCGGGGCAGACCCCUGGAAGUCCAAAACAACGUAGACAUCAUGGUUUUGUGUUUGUGUGUACAAUUUUUGUUUCAUCUCAUUUUCUUAGGGAGUUUUGGGUUGUUUUGAAUUCCAUUUUGUUCUUUUAUUUUGAGAGAAAAUUAAGUUUGUUUCUUUGAGGCUUUGUCUACUUUAAACCUGUUCAGAUCUUGUAUAUAUUGAAAGAAGCUGAGUGAGUAGGGAGGUAAGAAGAUAUAUACUAUUUUUAAGGUAUUAACAAAACUGAAAAAAAAAGAAACAUUAUCACUUUUAGUAUUUCUAUUUGAGUUGGAGCUUCUGUCUCCAUAGCAACCAUCUGUUUUUGUAUUGUCUACUUUUUCAUUACUGUGCAAUACCCUGUUCAUAUUAAUUGUAUUUUUAACCUGUGAUCUAAACUGCCAGCGUUCUUGAGUUACUGGAACCUCUUUUUUUGUUCUUUGAGACUAGGGUUGCUCUGAGUAGGUCUGGCUGUCCUGUGUAUAGACCAGGCUGGCCUUGAACUCAAAUAUCCAUCCAUUUUCCCUUCUUAGUACAGGGGCUUUGUCUACUUUAAACCUGUUCAGAUCUUGUAUAUAUUGAAAGAAGCUGAGUGAGUAGGGAGGUAAGAAGAUAUAUACUAUUUUUAAGGUAUUGACAAAACUGAAAAAAAAGAAACAUUAUUAUUAUUUGUUUGUUUUUGACAUAGGGUCUGUGUAGGCCUUGCUGUCAUACAGGCUGGUCUUAAACUCAGAAAUCUGCCUGCUUCUGCCUCUCAAGUGCUGGGAUUAAAGGUAUGCAUGCCACCACCACUGCCUUACAAGAUGUUUUUUUAAGAGGGACAUCAUGUAUUGUGAAAAGUGAGCAGUGAUACAGUGGCCUUUAGAGAUAUGCCAGUAAGAUGGUAGGGAGGAGAAAUAGUCUAACAGCCUGCUGCAUGUCCUUAGUCUCUCUCUCUCUCUCUCUCUCUCUCUCUCUCUCUCUCUCUCUCUCUCUCUCUCUCUCUCUCUCUUCCUCUCUUCUCCAGCUCCCUUUCUCUGUCUCUCUCUUUUCCACCCUUUCUUUUGGUGUUCUGUGUUUAUGUACUUUUGUUUUGUUGGUUGAUUUUUCUUGUUUUAGCAAGAGCCUUGCUGUGUACCCCAGGUUGGCCUGGAACUUGCUAUCGUCUCUUGCCUCUGUAUUUUGAGUGUCUGGAUUACAGGCACGCAUCCCUGCAUGAUAGCUUCACUUGAGCACAGAAAUUGUUGAGAGUGAGUAUUCAGAUGUAUUUCAAAGUAGUAUGGUUCGUACCCUUGUCAGGAGCUUAAGGGGCUUUUCUCUAAUCUGUACUGUGCAAAUGUAGUGCAGCUCCCUGGGAGAAAUCUCAGAAAGAUAUGGGCACUCUCUACUGUUGGUCCACACUUCUCAGACUCCUUUGGAAUGAGCUGCCAAGAAAUUCAAGACAUGCUACAGGACGUUUAUCAGGAAGAAAAAGAUUAUCAGAAACUUGUCUAUACACGCACAAGGUAAAGUACAACAGAAUUUGAACAAAUGCAGCUAACAUACAGGCAUUUCUCAGUUUUGUUUCACUAAAAGAUGUUUAAGUUUGCUUAUUCAAAUUCUAGUUUUAGAAAUGUUCUGUUCUUUUCCCCAUAGAAGUUGUUUCUCUGGAUGUUUUAUUUUCCAUAUGUUAUACAUCACUACUCAUUUCCAGUUCUCCCAUCUUGGAGGCAAGAAUUUGGCCCUGUGAUUUCAAUUCUGCGACUGAACUAAUCAGACCUGUUGCUUUCAAUUUUGUUCAGCAUUUUAUUUAAUCCUUUUGUUGUUGUUGUUGUUUUAUGUAUUUAUGUUUUAACCCUCUGGGUCUAAUUCACGCUUGUAUGUGCAUGGCCGUGAGCUCAUCCAUUGAAGUACAGACACUAUUUCAAUAACCACACUUCUAGAGAAAAAGAACUCUUCCCUCCCCCAGCAACUGUCAGUUGUCAAUAGCUCCUCAGCUAGGGAUGUAGCCUUGGAAGCCCUUUCUCCCUCCGUGCUAGAAUUUUGAAGUGACUUUAUCUUGCUGAGGGAGCCAUCCACUGCUCCUCUUGGUUCCUGAGUACAAAGGUCACGCCAUGUCCAAAGUAGAGUACUGUGCCCUGUCCUCAGGCUCUUAUUCUGACCCGCUUCAGUAUUCUCUUAGCCUCGAGGGAGUCGGCUGUUUGCUAGAGAUCUAAAGAUGUAUCACCUCCACCUUCCUGUACAUGCUGGGCAGAAAGCCCAAAUACAUUCACACAAAACAAUUGCCUUUGUUGAGAUUUAGUGUGUUCUUUUUUGUGUGCAAGAAAACAUUAUUUCUUGUUUUCAAUUCAGGGAUCUCUUAAAAUGCAAGUAAAAAUAAGAUACACUUUUUAUUAUUUAAAACCAAAGUUCAUCUUAUCAGGUUGUCAAUCAUAUUAUAUACCUUUAAUCGCUUUCCUGUGUCCUGUCACUGAGACUGAUAUAUAAAUGUCUGUCUUUUUGUCUGCUAGAGCAGUACGCACUCUGUAGCCAAGUCAUGUCUCCUUCUGGGUGUUGUACUAUUUAUGAUUAUAUUUUGUACUUGUCGAUAGAUAGCUAGAGUUUCUUUGUUUUUUUCUUUUUUCUUUUUUUCCGAGACAGGGUUUCUCUGUGUAGCCCUGGCUGUCCUGGAACUCACUCUAUAGACCAAGCUAACCUCGAACUCAGAAAUCUGCCUGCCUCUGCCUCCCAAGUGCUGGGAUUAAAGGCAUGCACCACCACCACCACCACCACCGAUAGCUAGAGUUUCUAUCCUGUUUUGAACUAUUAUAAUUAUGACAAAUUGCUAGGAAAAUAUUCAUUUCAGUUCCUAUGUAGAUAUAUAUCUUAUUUCUUUUGUUAAAUCAUUCUAAAUGGAAUUAUCUAAUAUAUGCUAGGUUGUUGCUGAAUUUUAAAAGACUAUCUUUCAUAAGUUUUUCAAAGUAAUGUACUAUUUUCCAUUUCACAACAGUUUAUCGGAAUUCAGUUUGAUCAAUAUUCUUACUAACAUCUAGUACUGUUGGUUAAUUUGAAUUUAACCUUUCUAAUAACUGCAAUGUGAUAUCCUCAUUUAUAUAGCUGUCUAAUUUGAAAGGCUAUGCAAAGGGACUGGAGAGAUGACUCAGUGGUUAAGAGAACUUGCCGCUUUUACAGAGGACCUGGGUUUCAUUCCCAGCAUUCACACAGCAGCUAAUAGAAGUCUGUAACUCCAACCCCAGGGAAUAUGACACUGUCUUCUGUCCUCCUGGGGCAUGCAUCCACAUGGUGCGCUAACAUAUGUGCAGUGAGUCUCCUGGCUUCGUAUCAAGGUGUGAGCCCUCAGCUCUUAACUUCUGGCUCUAGUCCUCAUGCCUGCCUGCUGCCACAUCACUCUGGACCUGUGUCUUCAAAUUUCCAGUCUGGUUUCCUUGGAGGUGCCUCUGUGUCACCGUAAGUUAUUGUUCACCAAGUGUUCGAACAGAGCUGGUGUCUAACCUCUGGGCCGUAUGCCUGCAACCUUUACUUAGGAGAUUAGUGUAUGCACAUUCAAAGUUCAGCCAGUUCAUAAUGCUGCUUUGACAUUUACUUUCUACUUGGGCAAGGACAUAUUUUCAUCUAGGGACUUAGUGGUGUUUGAAAAUGUUAUUCCUAUAAAUACUAUUGAGGUUUGCUUUCAUAUUAAGUUAACUUAUUUUAAAACAGUUUGAUCUCUUUGGGCUUUACUUUUAAGCUUCUUUAGAUGAAGGUAGAGUAACAAUUAUUUUAGAAAAAAAAAUGUCCUGCUUCUGAGAGGGGGAAAAAAAAACCCUCUAGAUUUCUUAACAUAUUUUUCAAGAAAAUUUCCUACUUCUGGAUGGUUGGCCAUUUCUGCACCUAUAUUGGUUUCAGGGAUUUUUUUUUUCUAUUUUCUAUUUUUUUCCAAUAGAAUCAACAUGGGUACACUUAUCAGUGCUAAGCUAAAUAAUUGAAACCUAUUGCAAAUUCAAGGUGUUCAUACCUGGAAACCUGGCAUUUGGGAGGUUUAUAUAGUUGGAUAUGCCAUGAAUUCCAGGUCAACCUGAGCUACAGAGUAGGGAGGGCCGUCUAUCAGUCCUUCUUGUAGUUGGAGUUCUCUCUAUGUACUCUUUUUUGCUCUAGUACUCUGCCUGACAAAUUCUCCCUUGGCUUCUGCGAAUCUAUAGCAUUCUCUAAUCAUUUAUUCUCAAGUAAUAAAACAGUUGUUUCUAGCCUUAUGUAGUCUUAAGUAAUUUCUCUUUUUUCAUCAGCUGGCACAUCUAAUAUAAUGUUUGGUUGAAUGUUGGAAAUAUACAAAAUCUCGUUUGAUCACAGCCAAAAUAAAUCUCAUACUCAUUAGGAUUAGUCCCUCACCAUUUCUCUGUCGACCCCUUCGGAGGCUAUGAUUAGUAGUUUUUAAUCUUUAUAGAUUUAUUUUUUUCUAGACACACACACAUAGCUUUUCUUUAUGUUGGUGAGAAUACAAGAGAAAUGCUUAUGUACUGCUAGUGUGAUCAAAGCACUUAGGAAAUCACCAUGGAUGGUCCUCAGAAAACUGAAAGUGGACCUCUCAGAAAGAAUCAGUCAGCUUACUUUAGAGGAUUCUUCAGUGCCAUGCUGUCUCUUCUACCUCCCUCUUCUAUUUUUGAAAUUAUCUUGAGUCCUUUGGGAUAAACUUUAUGUUCUAUGAUCAGGUGAUUAGCAACCUUAACUUUAUGCACUAUAUUAGUUUCUUUAUAUCCAUUACAUUAAUUUCUUUAUUUUCCAUGGAAUAUAAUAUGUCUGGAGGUCCUGGUAAUUAGGAUGAGGAUAUAUCUGAGAGAAUGUUAUGCUGCUACCCUGUAUUGUGCCAACUUUUGCUUAAUAUAAAAUACUGUUAUGCUGCUAAAUGCAUACAGAAUUAGAAUUGCUUCCUUCAUAAUGCAGUGACAAUUUUAUGAUAAUGUAAUGUCUAUGUGUAUCUCUUAUAAUGUUUAUUUAAAUGAACUCAUAUUACCUAAUGUUAUUGUUACCACAAAACUUAAUUUUAUUAGUUUUUGUAUGAUGUGUUUUUCCCUCCCUUUACCUUUAAGAUUUCUAUAACCUCAUAUUUAAAAUAAUAUUUCCUGUAGGUGACAUUUUUAUUUUUGUAAUUUCAUUCUAUUGCUCUGUCUUGUUGUAGUCUGUAGCAUAAUUGCAUUAAUAUAAUCAUUAGAUCUUUCUUUUGUAAAAUUCCCAUUUACUACUUGCUUUCCAUCCGUCUCACAUUCUGUGUCUUGCAUUUACCUUUCUAAAAAUUUUGUUUCAUUUAGUUGAAUAUUUUCCUAUUAGUCCUUAUAUCUCUUUGCACCAGCUUUGAUUUCAGCUUCUAGUGAUGACCUUUACCAGUUCCUUCCCUCUAUUUCUGCACAUGUGUCUCCAUUCUUCAAGAGUUUGAGCUGACACGAGUACUAAUCCCAGCUGCCCAGGAGACUAACACAAGAGGAUCACAAAAGGCCUGCCUGGGCCACAAAUUACUACAGGUGUAGCACACAGAUUUUUUUUUUUUGGCCACUAUGAAACUGUACUGAACAUUUGCUAACCCCAAAUAAGAUAAGCCUUGGGCUAGAAGACUCCAAGCUACUACUGGCCUCCAGAGAUUCUCUCAUGCUUCUGAACAUCACCUAGACAGGGAAUACUGAGCCUUCAUUGAUUCUGUCAAGCCUGAAGUUGACCAAAGAUAACAGGUUUUCUUCCUGCCCCUCUGAAGACUCCAUAGAGAUGACUGUCCAUCUGCACAAAUGGUCCAGUUGUGUGCUGGGCUGUGUUAUAGACUACGUUUUACCAGGGCGCUAUGUGGAGAUAAGAUUAUCAUCCAGGAAACAACCAAAUCCCCCAGUGCUGGCUCUAUGUGACUUCUGAUCCUACUCUGUUAUUGUAUCCAUUUCUUACUUCAGAAGAUUGUACCGUGGCCAGUGUUGCGUACAUAUCCAUCAGCAGAUUGCCUUAGCAGAGCACUAUUGACAAGACUCAGCAAGGGGGACAUACAAUGGUGGAAUGUAUUAGAAGAUCACACUGUUGGGCAUUUGGGUUGGACAGUCUUAAUAAAAUAACGAUGGUCAUCAUUA